rnacentral:rRNA from 2 species
UGAUCGGCCACAUUGGGACUGAGACACGGCCCAAAUUCCUACGGGAGGCAGCAGUAGGGAAUCUUCCCACAAUGGACGCAAGUCUGAUGGAGCAACGCCGCGUGAGUGAAGAAGGCUUUCGGGUCGUAAAACUCUGUUGUUGGAGAAGAAUGGUCGGCAGAGUAACUGUUGCCGGCGUGACGGUAUCCAACCAGAAAGCCACGGCUAACUACGUGCCAGCAGCCGCGGUAAUACGUAGGUGGCAAGCGUUAUCCGGAUUUAUUGGGCGUAAAGCGAGCGCAGGCGGUUUUUUAAGUCUGAUGUGAAAGCCCUCGGCUUAACCGAGGAAGCGCAUCGGAAACUGGGAAACUUGAGUGCAGAAGAGGACAGUGGAACUCCAUGUGUAGCGGUGAAAUGCGUAGAUAUAUGGAAGAACACCAGUGGCGAAGGCGGCUGUCUGGUCUGUAACUGACGCUGAGGCUCGAAAGCAUGGGUAGCGAACAGGAUUAGAUACCCUGGUAGUCCAUGCCGUAAACGAUGAAUGCUAGGUGUUGGGAGGGUUUCCGCCCUUCAGUGCCGCAGCUAACGCAUUAAGCAUUCCGCCUGGGGGAGUACGACCGCAAGGUUGAAACUCAAAGGAAUUGACGGGGGCCCGCACAAGCGGUGGAGCCAUGUGGUUUAAUUCGAAGCAACGCGAAGAACCUUACCAGGUCUUGACAUCUUUUGAUCACCUGAAGAGAUCAGGUUUCCCCUUCGGGGGCAAAAUGACAGGUGGUUGCAUGGUUGUCGUCAGCUCGUGUCGUGAAGAUGUUGGGUUAAGUCCCGCAACGAGCGCAACCCUUAUGACUAGUUGCCAGCAUUUAGUUGGGCACUCUAGUAAGACUGCCGGUGACAAACCG